UACAGAGGGGGCAAGCGCUAUUCGGAAUUAUUGGGCGUAAAGGGCGCGUAGGCGGUAGCACAAGUCAGUUGUGAAAUCUCCGGGCUUAACUCGGAAAGGUCAACUGAUACUGUGCGACUAGAGUGCAGAAGGGGCAACUGGAAUUCUCGGUGUAGCGGUGAAAUGCGUAGAUAUCGAGAGGAACACCUGCGGCGAAGGCGGGUUGCUGGGCUGACACUGACGCUGAGGCGCGAAAGCCAGGGGAGCGAACGGG
rnacentral:rRNA from 1 species